UACGAAGGUGGCGAAUGUUGCUCGGAUUCACUGGGCGUAAAGCGUCUGUAGGUGGCCUUAUAAGUUAGAGGUGAAAGCCCCGCGCUCAACGUGGGAACGGCCUUUAAAGCUGUAAAGCUUGAAGAUAUGAGAGGAUGGCGGAAUGACUGGUGUAGAGGUGAAAUUCGUAGAUAUCAGUCGGAACACCCAUGGCGAAGGCAGCUAUCUGGCAUAUUCUUGACACUGAGGGACGAAAGCGUGGGGAGCAAACAGG
rnacentral:rRNA from 1 species